UGACCUUGUGGCACAGUGGUAGCGUGUCUGACUCCAGAUCAGAAGGUUGUGUGUUCGAAUCACACCAGGUCAG